GAGGACGUAGCUCAGUGGUAGAGCAACGGUCUUUUAAACCGUGGGCCGAGGGUUCGAGCCCCUCCGUCCUCA
rnacentral:tRNA from 1 species